AAAUAAAUAAAAAGCUCACGAGUGAGAUUUAUUACUAUGUGUUAUCUUUUCGUUUUUUGCCUGUCCUUUGCCUAGUUCCUAGGGCUUUAUGCGCAAGAAUUGCUUGUUGAAAGGUAAAAAAACCUACAUGAUAAUUACCAAAGUCUAUCAAAGAUGGAUUGAGAUGAUGAUUUUUUGGUCAACUUAAAAUAGGAGAUUCUUUUUGUUUCUCACCAAAUAAAAAGAAAAAAGCAAAAGAAAAGAAGCCUUUUUUAAUUUUGUUAAUUUUUCAUGUUUUUUGUUUGACUUGGUUGCAGGGUGUUGAUAAGUUCUCUGGAUAGAUGAUACUGAGUUAAACAGAAGGAAAAAGGAUUACAGUCCACUUCAGUGCGGUGGAAGCUGGUGUUUAUAAAGUCUGUAUAUAUUUGUGGUAGGAUAGGCAUAAGAAAGUUUUGUGAAGCAGGAGUGUUUCUCUUGCCCCCGCUUGGUGUUUUGCCAUGUAAAUUGAAUAUGGUUGUGGAAUUUAUCCGAAUGAGCCCAGCCAGAUGUAGCUUACACUAACAUACAUCGGAAUCUAUUUUAGUUGUUUGAUCUGUACGACCUUUGAUAUGGUGAUAAGAUAUGUUUGUGGCGGUUGCGAUAAAAUUAAAUUCUAUAUAACUGAAUGUUCAUUUUAUUAAUCUCUGUAAUCGAUUCUAAUACUAACUUUCAUGGGUGAGGUAUGUUAUAAAACGUUACCUUAUGGAUUUACUUUUCAACUCAUCCAAGAGUACGUGUGAGGUCUUCCAGAGUUGGGUUUGGAAAAUCAAGAUCUUCUUGUAAUGGUAAUCAAGCUAGUUUCAAGGCCGACAUCAAUGGCUUCAUCUUUAUAUAAGUUGUAUUGCCCUAUAUAGUUUAAUAUAUGGCUCUUGGCUCAAUACAAUGGAUGUAAUCAAUAGGUUGGCGCAUUCAUGCUGUUUGAUCUGAGCAUUAUUGCUAUGGCCUUUCAUGGAAAUAAUAUGGUGUAAUGAAAUUGUUUGUCUUGCUUAAAGAAUUCGGAUAAGAAGCAUCUUUUUCCAAAAAUCAUAGACAUAUUAGUGUGGGAAAAUUUAUGAAGAUAAAUAAAAGAAAGCAUAGGAGAAUAUUUUGAUGAGCCUGCAUGAUUCGAUCCUCUGCAUCUCAAGUCUAGCUAUGGUUAUUUAACAAGAGCGUGCAAAAUAAGGGCUUUAAGUUGAUGGAAAUUGUAUGGAAAACGUG
rnacentral:lncRNA from 1 species